rnacentral:rRNA from 1 species
UGCCAGACUCCUACGGGAGGCAGCAGUGGGGAAUAUUGCACAAUGGGGGAAACCCUGAUGCAGCGACGCCGCGUGAAGGAUGAAGUAUUUCGGUAUGUAAACUUCUAUCAGCAGGGAAGAAAAUGACGGUACCUGACUAAGAAGCCCCGGCUAACUACGUGCCAGCAGCCGCGGUAAUACGUAGGGGGCAAGCGUUAUCCGGAUUUACUGGGUGUAAAGGGAGCGUAGACGGCAGUGCAAGUCCGGAGUGAAAGCCCGGGGCUCAACCCUGGGACUGCUCUGGAAACUGUAAAGCUGGAGUGCAGGAGGGGCAGGCGGAAUUCCUGGUGUAGCGGUGAAAUGCGUAGAUAUCAGGAGGAACACCGGCGGCGAAGGCGGCCUGCUGGACCGUAACUGACGUUGAGGCUCGAAAGCGUGGGGAGCAAACAGGAUUAGAUACCCGGGUAACG